rnacentral:rRNA from 1 species
GGGAGGCAGCAGUGGGGAAUAUUGGACAAUGGGGGAAACCCUGAUCCAGCCAUGCCGCGUGUGUGAAGAAGGCCCUAGGGUUGUAAAGCACUUUAAGCAGGGAGGAAAGGGUGGUGGCUAAUAUCUAUCAUCAUUGACGCUACCUGCAGAAUAAGCACCGGCUAACUUCGUGCCAGCAGCCGCGGUAAUACGAAGGGUGCAAGCGUUAAUCGGAAUUACUGGGCGUAAAGCGCGCGUAGGCGGUUUGGUAAGUGUGAUGUGAAAUCCCCGGGCUCAACCUGGGAACUGCAUCACAUACUGCCAGGCUAGAGUACGGUAGAGGGGGGUAGAAUUCCACGUGUAGCGGUGAAAUGCGUAGAGAUGUGGAGGAAUACCAGUGGCGAAGGCGGCCCCCUGGAUCGAUACUGACGCUGAGGUGCGAAAGCGUGGGGAGCAAACAGGAUUAGAUACCCCGGUAGG